UCCGUCGUGGUGUAUCGGCUAGCAUCGAUCGCUUUCAUGUUUGGAGCCGAUCAGAGCCGGGUUCGACUCCCGGCGACGGAA